rnacentral:lncRNA from 1 species
AGUUCACGAACAAAAUCUAUAAAACAGGGAAUGAAGGCAAAAAGAGUAAGCAUUUCGAUGCUUAGUAAGUCUUAAGUAAUGAAAUCAUUUAUAACUAAAGCAUAGCAUUCAUAAGGCUCAUCAUCUUUCUGACUAAAUGUAGUCAUGAUUAAAUAUACCCCUAUCGUUCAUACAUGUCAUCUUAAAUUUUUCCUUAAACACGAAUUCGUAUCAUGUAGAUAAUCUCUUUUUACCCAACUAACCUCAUAAUUAUGCCGAAUACAUCUAAUUCGAUUACAAGGCUAAAUAAAUGCAAAUACGCAAAAAUCA